GGAAGGGAGAGAAAGAAAAUCCAAAAUGGCCGACCUUUUGCUAGUCCCAACCCUUAAAACGUCAGGAAUUCAAAGGGGAAGAUUGAAAAAAGUUCAUUUAGUUCUGGUGCUUCACUUUGAGUAGUUUGUUCACGUUUUGAUCCUAGCCUGGCCGAUUCUCUUCCCACUGGUGUUGUUUCACUAGUUAACAUCGUUUAGAGUGUUCAUCAUUCAAAGUGAAAGAUUUUGCGCACCACAUUGGUAGACGUUUUGCUUUCAUGGACAACAGUUUCUUGGGUCUCUUCCGGUCCAUAUCAUCACUCCAUAAGAGGAAAAUAUUUGCCGAAUUUCUUGUGCUAAACGAAAAUGAAUCGAAGCGCUGAAAAAGCAUUUACCACACAACCAGAAGAGACAUUUAGACAUCUAUUUGGUGACAAUUGGUGUCAAACGCUUAGCGAGGUCACGACAACGGAUCUCGAAUGGAACAUUCCGUUUCCGUUUUUAGAAUAUCCUCCGCCUUUUAUGAAAUCAUCCCGUUUUUCAUAGCUGUAACUGUAAGAAAUUAAUCUGGAAUCGAUUUGUUUCAUGAACUCAGUUCUGAAAUCGGUUGUAUCUCUUUUGUAUUAUGCUAAAGUUAAAUUUCCUGUGUUGUGUUAAGGGAACAAAGAAAAUCGAUAAAUACAAAGAAAAAUGAGUCAA